UCAAGAUGAAAGCAAAUACAUAACUGUGCUUACAUGAAUUUAAAAGGCUGUGCUUUUGUUUAGUAAAUAGGAGGUGGAGGGGAUGGUGAUGGUGGUGGUGGAGAUUUGUAAUAAUAAGGUGGUGGAGGCGAUGGAGAGGGUGGAGGUGGGGACUUAUAGUAAUAAGGAGGUGGAGGUGAUGGUGAUGGUGGAGGUGGAGACUUGUAAUAGUAUGGAGGGGGAGGGGACGGUGAUGGUGGAGGUGGAGACUUGUAGUAGUAAGGAGGAGGAGGGGAAGGAGAUGGUGGUGGCGGAGACUUAUAGUAGUACGGAGGGGGAGGGGAUGGGGAUGGUGGAGGUGGUGACUUAUAGUAGUAAGGAGGAGGAGGUGAAGGAGAUGGUGGUGGGGGAGACUUGUAGUAGUACGGAGGCGGAGGGGAUGGAGAUGGUGGAGGUGGUGACUUAUAGUAGUAAGGAGGAGGAGGUGAAGGAGAUGGUGGUGGGGGAGACUUGUAGUAAUACGGAGGAGGAGGGGAUGGUGAUGGUGGAGGUGGGGAUUUAUAGUAGUAAGGAGGAGGAGGUGAAGGUGAUGGUGGUGGGGGAGACUUGUAGUAGUAAGGAGGAGGAGGUGAAGGGGAUGGUGGAGGUGGGGACUUAUACUCAUAAGGUGGGGGUGGGGAUGAAGGAGGAGGAGGAGG
rnacentral:lncRNA from 1 species